rnacentral:rRNA from 1 species
UGGGUAGUCCGCACGAGCGCACCUCAUCCUUAGUUGCCAUCAUUUAGUUGGGCACUUUAAGGAAACUGCCGGUGAUAAGCCGGAGGAAGGUGGGGAUGACGUCAAGUCCUCAUGGCCCUUACAGGCUGGGCUACACACGUGCUACAAUGGUAUCUACAGUGAGCAGCGAUCCCGCGAGGGUUAGCUAAUCUCCAAAAGAUAUCUCAGUUCGGAUUGUUCUCUGCAACUCGAGAGCAUGAAGGCGGAAUCGCUAGUAAUCGCGGAUCAGCAUGCCGCGGUGAAUACGUUCCCAGGCCUUGUACACACCGCCCGUCACACCAUGGGAGUUGGUUUCACCCGAAGAUAGUGCGCUAACCUGUUUACAGGAGGCAGCUAGCCACGGUGGGAUCAGCGACUGGGGUGAAGUCGUAACAAGGUAGCCGUAGGGGAACCUGCGGCUGGAUCACCUCCUUUCU